rnacentral:rRNA from 1 species
UACGUAGGGGGCAAGCGUUGUCCGGAAUCAUUGGGCGUAAAGCGCGUGUAGGCGGCUGACUAAGUCCGCUCUGAAAGCCCGGGGCUCAACCCCGGGAGGCGGGUGGAUACUGGUCAGCUCGAGUCCGGAAGAGGAGUGUGGAAUUCCUGGUGUAGCGGUGAAAUGCGCAGAUAUCAGGAGGAACACCAAUGGCGAAGGCAGCACUCUGGGACGGUACUGACGCUGAGACGCGAAAGCGUGGGGAGCGAACAGG